CUUUAAUCUAUUGGUGAACUAUCAUCGCGACUUCUGCACUUGAUAACUGAUGCUGACACUUAAUUUUCCGGUAAAAAAGACAGUUGCGGGAAAUCGGAGUUUAGAACGCGCGCAAGCACUACGCGACAGCAAACACUAACGUAGUCUCGCAGAUUGCCGCCUGGCCGGUAGAGCGCCAGAAUUUCGGAAUGCUUUAAAAAACUAUAUUCCUUGAGAUGGCGACACCUUCUGACAGAAGCCAUAGCCUGGAUUGGAUCGCGAAUCGAUAUUCUAUGCGAAUGGAAUUAUGGGACUGCUAUUUUCCCGCCGACCGAAAACGCGCUAAACAAAUUUUGCAUUUGGCCCACUCAUACUGCAUCAUUUUCUUCCAAUCAAUUAACGACUAGUUCAAACUCGAAUUGUAAGAAGCUAACAUGUGUGGCGUGCUUUCUAUCAUAAUUCCACCUUAAACAAUUUUCUUUUUAUAAAUAUAGUAAAAACAUAUAAAAUUAUUGCAAAAUUUCGGUUGAAUGUACGGAUGAAUAUACGGAUACAUACCAGUUGAAUGUAAUAUAUUAUAUUUUCAUUCGUCACGAUAAAUUUCUUUUUCUGAUUUCUUUUAUUAAACCGGACAGUGGUGAGUGUAGUAAAACUGUUAAAGGAUCAAAAUUAACGAAAAGAUAAAAAAUGUUUCCUACAAUGAAGCAACUUCAGUGCAUCUAUAUUAAAGACGUACCUACUUUCUGGCAAUCCUAAGUAAAGCGCUUAUCGCGUAAUGGAAGUUGUGGAAAACAUCAUCAUCAUCACGGAGCAGCAUACGGAAUGACAUGGAGCGAUAGAGAGGGACGACUCGAAUAGGUGACGUAAACAUAAACUUAGGAUGACCAGAAGGGUUGAAAUCGUGCACGCCAGGACACCCUCUUUUCUUGGACCCCCCACUUUGCCAGCUCAUAACUUUGUGAAUUUUGAGUUUUUUUUUGUUAAUUUUUUAAGUAAUCUUAAAAUAUCAAUAAACAAAUGAUAAAAAAUGGUAAAAAUAUUUUUUGUUUCGUUUGUACAGAGCUUCAAAAACCGGCCGAAGUUCAUGCCCUAGACUAGAGUACCCCAUUAAACAUAUGAUUAAAAAAUGGUCACAUUUGCAUAAUGCAUAAUUGUCUGUUUAAAUAUACCCUGCAAUAUAUAUAUUUGUACUAAAUAUCUUGUAGCUUCUAUAUUAUACAAUUCAGA